AUUUUCCGCAAUGGGGGAAACCCUGACGGAGCGACGCCGCGUGGGGGAAGAAGGCCUUCGGGUCGUAAACCUCUGUCUUUGGGGACGAAAAUGACGGUACCCAAGGAGGAAGCCCCGGCUAACUACGUGCCAGCAGCCGCGGUAACACGUAGGGGGCGAGCGUUGUCCGGAAUCACUGGGCGUAAAGGGCGUGUAGGCGGCCUGUUAAGUCAGGCGUGAAAGCCCUGGGCUUAACCUGGGGACUGCGCUUGAAACUGGCGGGCUUGAGGGCAGGAGAGGAAAGUGGAAUUCCCGGUGUAGCGGUGAUAUGCGUAGAUAUCGGGAGGAACACCAGUGGCGAAGGCGGCUUUCUGGACUGCACCUGACGCUGAGGCGCGAAAGCCAGGGGAGCGAACGGG
rnacentral:rRNA from 1 species